UCCGGGGGGUGUGGAAAGGGGCUGGGUUUGCAGGCACAUGUGUUUUGCGUGCCCGUGUGGAGUGGCGUCUGCAGUGUUGAGGUUCCCUAGUGGGGAGGAGUGUGUGUUGGGGGGGGGCGGGAGGUGGUGGGGGACGGAGGUGAGGGGUGGGCUUAAAGCGCGUGGAGUAGGUUGAAAGAACGGAAAAAGUUGGUAGAAGGCAUGUGGGGAGAAAGGUUUUCCAGGCGGGAAAUGCUUUCUAAGGAUUAGGAGGGAGAAGACUGCCGCAUUCACAAUGUGCUCAGGUUUGAUCGAGAGUUUAGAGACUUCACAAAGAUGCAUUUCAACAGUUUCCCUGAAAGCUAGAGUAAGAUUGCUGGGUGUCAGUUGGGAUCCUGUCUUCUACAGGUUUGUAUCAAGCAAGCUCUUAGCAUUGUGUCUUGAGUGCAUGUCAUGUGCAGCCUGCAUUUAUGUUCGACUGAGCACUUGGGUGGAGAAAUCUAAAGGCUGUUUAUGUUUUUUUCAUUUGUUAACUUUUUUUUUUUUUUUUUUUUUUUGAGACAGUCUCGCCCUGUCACCCAGGCUGGAGCACAGUGGCGCGAUCUCGGCUCACUGCAACUCCGCCUCCCAGGUUCAAGCUAUUCUCCUGUCUCAGACUACCGAGUAGCUGGGAUUACAGGCAGGAGCCACCACGCCCAGAUUAUUUUUGUAGUUUUAGUUGAGAUAGUGGUCACGCUGUAUUUACCAGGCUGGGCUCGAACUGCUGGCCUCAAGUGAUCUGCCCUCCUUGUCCUCCCAGAGUGUGUUGAUAAUCUGUUGAUUUGCAACUUGUUGGUUGUUGGUGGAGUUUACAGUUAACAUAAAUGUGAGUGUAAUCCAUUAGAGAAUGUUGCCUUUAUGAAUAGAGUGGGUGCCAGAUGUUCUGUUGAUUGAGCGUUUCUAAACCAACUUGGAGUCCUACUUUCCUGGUAAUUCUGGAGAACUUUAAGAUCUUGAAAUAAUCUGAUAGGCAGUUGAAUUUGUACAUGAGAACAUUUUGUCUUUUGACACUGUGAAUGAAUCUGAUAGAAAGUUUUAGCAUUUAAUUGCACUAUGAAGAUUAAUACCUUCCCCGGGGUUUUGCUUUCUUGCUUUUUCUUCUAAGAUGGGGUCUUCCUACGUUGCCCGAGCUGGUCUGGAACUCUUGGGCUCAAGCGAUCUUCAUGCCUGGGCCCCCCGAAGUGCUGGGAUUACCGGAGUGAGGCACCAUGCUGGGCCAAGUUUUUCUUUUUUCUCUCUCUUCUCUUUCUUUUAUAAAAGUGUUUCAUUUGUUGUCAUGGGCUUGACUUUAAUGAAGAUAUAUUUGCUGAGGCUGAUAUGCUAAGAAAAUUAAUUUGUAAGUUCAGAUGUUUUGUAAAACAAAUAGUUACUUAUGGGUGGAAAUUAAUUAAUUAAUUAAUUAAUUUGACGGACUUAGUCUCCAGGCUGGAGUGCAGUGGCCUGAUCUUGGCUCACUGCAACUUCGGCCUCUUGGGUUCAAGUGAUUCUCCUGCCUCAGCCUCCUCAGUAGCUGGGACUAUAGGCACGCACGCGCCACCACGCCCAGCUAAUUUUUGUAUUUUGGAAGAGAUGGGGUUUCACCAUGUUGGCCAGGCUGGUCUUGAUCUCUUGACCUUGUGAUCCGCCUGCCUCGGCCUCCCAAAGUGCUGGGGUUACAGGCCCGGCCUUGGGUGGAAUUUUAUCUCUCUUGAGCAUCAACUUUGCAUUUUCAGGGUAAACUUGCUGGAUGUGUGAUUUGUGACUCAAUUUAAUAGUAAUGUUUGAUUAGUAACCAAUGACACUGAACAAUAGUUUUCUUACCCACAGAAAGAGACACUAUUUUUUUUUUUUGAGACGGAGUCUUCCACAGUCAGGUAGGCUGAAGUGCAGUGGUGCAAUCUUCCUGGCUCACAGCAACCUCCGCCUCCCAAGUUCAAGUGAUUCUUCUGUCUCAGCCUCCCAAAGUAGCUGGAACUACAGGCAUGCGCCACCACCCACGGCUAAUUUUUGUAUUUUUAGUAGAGAUAGGGUUUUGCCAUUUUGGCCAGGUGGGUCUCAAACUCCUGAACUCAGGUGAUCCUCCCGCCUCAGCCUUCCAAAGUGCUCUGAUUACAGGUGUGAGCCACUGUGCCGGCUAGAAAGAGGCACUUUUAAAAAUGCUGGUGUUCCACUUCAUAGGUGAUCUUUCUAGGAUUUUCUUUAUUAAAAAAAUUCUUAAAGUUUUAUUUAUUUAUUACUCUUCUCCCUGACAGCUCUGAAGAUCUUUCUAGGAUUUUCUUACUUUUUUUUUGAGACUGAGUUUUGCUUUUGUUGCCCAGGCUGGAGUGCAGUGUGGUGAUCUUGGCUCACCACAGCUUCUCACCCUGGGUUCAAGCAAUUCUUCUGCCUCAGCCUCCCAAGUAGCUGGGAUUAUAGGCAUGCACUACCAUGCCCAGCUAAUUUUGUAUUUUUAGUAGAGACAAGGUUUCUCCAUGUUGGUCAAGCUGGUCUCCAACUCCUGAUCUCAGAUGAUCCUUCUGCCUUGGCCUCCUUAAGUGCUGGCAUUAUAGGCGUGAGCCAUCUUGGUGGCUGAGGAUUUUCUAAUUAACACACAGUAGGUAGUAGAUUGGAGAUAGGAAAGAUAGGACAGGAUGUAAGCAUGUGAAGAUGGGAGGUGAAGGUAAGCACUGUUAAGGUGGAGAAAAAAUAUUGGCAGUGGCUCAAAGGUGGGACUAUUUUAUAUCUUAGGAAAAUAAUUGAGAUAUAAGGACUUGAGAAGAUAGGCAGUUAAUGCUGAAAAGAUUUUAAAAUUAAUACUUUGUCACUUAGUAAAGGUUGUCUGAUUAAAUAGUUGAUUUAUGUAUUUGGAUUCGGUGGUGUUUGCUUUAGCUUGACUGAAGCCUAAGGCUCCUCUUUUCUGUGAUAGGCUUCUUGGUGUCUCUUAGUAAUUCCUUAUGGAUGGAGACCUCAUCAUAAGGAAUCACAACCUAGGGAUUACUGAGAGAUAACCAAUAUUGGGAAAUAAUGUUGCUCAGGAAUCAGGAAAGAAGGUUGUGUUGGUAAUUGUAUGGUGGCUUUGAAUUUUUACACUUGCUGUAAAAUUUUCGGUUGACUUUCUACCUUUUGCUGUAUUCUUAUUCUGUGUGUUUUGAGACAAUAUUGAUAUGUUUAUUUUAUUUUAAAGAGAUGAUGUCUAGCUGUGUUGUCCACACUGGUUUCGAACUCCUGGGCUCUAGCAAUCUCCUGCCUUGACUUCUCAAAGCACUGGAAUUAUAGGUGUGAGUCACCACAUCUGGCCUUGAUUUGUUUUUAUUUUUAUUUUUUGAUUUAUUAAUUAAGUGGAUGAGGCAAUUAGAAUAGAUGGUACUUUUUUUUUUUUUUUUUUUUUUUUUGAGGCAGGGACCAUGGGCGCUGGCUACCAUGCCCCUCUAAAUUGGGAGAGUUGUGGUUUCCCAAUGUUGCGCAGGCUGGUCUCAAAUUUUGGGGCUCAAAUCGAUCUGCCCAUCCUGUGAGUCACCAUACUCUACCAUAAUUUAGUAUUUUUAAUCUCCAUGUUUGUGGAUUUAGAUUGAAUUAUUUGACAACAAAAGAAACAAAAGAUUUAAUAUAGAAAUACAAAUUUAUGGUUUCCCUUUAAGGGCAUCUCUUACCUAUUUUGGAAUUAGGGCUGUUGAUAGAGCAUAAUUCUCUCCAUUUGGACUCAUUCCCUAACUGGAUGACUUUUACAUCUAGGCAUUUGAGAUUUUGACCCUAAUUUUAGUACAUCACAUUUGCAGAAUUGUUUUUGUUUUGUUGGUGUUUCAGGUAGUGUUAAAAACUUGGAGGUGGGUGCAUGAGAAAACUUUAUCCUUAUUUGCAAGCAUUGGAAAACUGAAGCACAAAAGCUUUUUCUUAAUACACUUAGUUGCAAUGAUGUUUCAACCUUAUAAGGAAAUUGCAAUUUAGUUUUUUUCUUCUUCCUCUUUUUGGGGAGGUGGUAGGGGAGUUCUUGCUAUGUUGUCUAGUCCAGGUUGGACUCCCAACUCCUGGGCUCAAGUGAUCCUAGCACCUCAGCCUCCCAAGUAGCUGGGACUACAGGUGUGUGGCACAAUGCCUAAAUUACUUUAAGUUUUUAACAUUUCAUAUUUCUUCUUAGUCUUGGGAUUUUUCUAAGGCUUGAGAGUGAUAUGAUUUGUAUUCAACUGAAUUAUCUAUUCUUCACAUUUAAUGAUGUAAUUCUGAUAUUUUCAACUGGCUAGAUUUUCAAAACUGCUUUAAUUUUCAAAGUGCACAAUUUUUAGCAGGUAAAAUAUUUAUUAUGCCAGUAUUUGUAUUUUAUGUACAUAAUUUGAAACCAAGUAGAUUUAAUUUACCAAAAUAUACUUUUCAGUUCUACUAAUGUAGUUACUAGUGAAUAAGGCAUGUCCCAGAUAGAAUCAUGGCUCCUUUAUUUACUAGCUUUGUGACUGACCGAAUUUUUAACCUUUAAGCCUCAGUUUUUCUCAUCUUGAAAAUGGAGAUGAUGUUAUGAGAAUUACAUGGUAUUUAAUGUACAUAGUGAGGUUUCAGUCUUAGUUGUUGCUAUUAUUGAAUAUUAACAAUCUAUAGUUAACCUCUACAUUUCCGUUCUUCAAAUUUUUGAGAGCAUAUAUUGAAGAAUAGUAAAAUAGCUACAGAUUAUUGAAUUGUGGUUGUCUGUCCAAAUGGAGGAGAGUAGUGCCAUGGAUAACUUGAAGUUCAAAUGUUAAGUUUGGAGUAUGUAACAUAUGAUGUGUGGCAAAGCUGUUUUUGUUUAACCCAGGACUAGACUUUUCAUCUCACAAACCUAUAUUAAGGGACAGAAAAGUGAGUACUGGGAAUUUGCCAUUAGGAUAGCUGGUCUAAGUUUAAACAUUUUUAUUGGAAUAAUACACUAAGUGUAUCACAAAGACUUUAUAAUAACAUUGAUUUCACUCAUUUAAUAUCCUGCUUCCAAGGUGGUAAGCUCUGAUUUAGGUGAUAGGAACAAAAUAAAACAAAACUCAACCCUAAUGGAGUUUACAUUCUAAUGGGACUCUGAACAUCUAUAAGGUAAUACUUGGUUUUGAUAAGUUUUAUGAGGAAAACCCAAGGAGGGAUAAGAUAACUCCAGGUAAGAUUCAGUUAAUGAAUAAAGCACUUUUUCCUGUGAAAGUGCUGUGUGCUUUUGGGGUGGUAUGACCGUAGACUGAAAGUGCAUUUGAAAUGAGCCUUUAAGAAGAUAAAUGAUUAUCAAAAGCAAACCAAAACAUUCUUUUAUAUUCCAUUUUGAGGAAUUUAUUUUUUGACUAGUCAAGUGCAGUAGUGAGAAUGGGGGAAGAGUAUAACUAGGAGUUCGAUCUAUAACUGACUGUGAACAAUCAGUUGAGGAAUUGAUUUCCCCAAUUUUAAACUUUAUUCUGAGAUAAUUGUAGAAUUACCUGCAGUUGUAGGAAAUAAUAUGGAUAUCUCAUGUACUCCUUUUUUAAAUAUAUAUAAAGUAUGGUAACAUCUUUUAUAGCUGUAGUACAGAAUCAUGGCCAGUAUUGAUUGCUGUAGAUUUCCACAGUCUGAUUUGCACUCGUGUGUGUGUGUGUGUGUGUGUGUGUGUGUGUAUAGAUGGUGUCUAACUUAACAAUGGUUUGGACUUCAGGAUCUUGCAAAAGCAAUAAACAUUCGGUAGAAACUGUACUUCCAGUACCCAUUACAACCAUUCUGCUUUUUACUUUUGUACAGUAGUCAAUAAAUUUCAUGAGAUAUUUAAUACUUUAUUAUAAAAUGGGCUUUGUUCUAGAUUAUUUUGCCCAGUUAUAGACUAACUGUAAGUGUUCUGAGCACUUUUAAGGUAGGCUAGGCUAAGCUAUGAUGUUCAGUAGGUUAGGUUUAUUACAUAUGUUUUCACCUUAUGACAUUUGCAACUUAGAUUGGAUUUAUUGGAAUGUAAUCCUGUUGUAAGUAGUCGAGCAUCUGUAUUUGAACCUUUGGAAUUUUAUCACAUGUAGGUUUGUAUCCCCACCAUCACUGUCAAUUUGCCUCUUUAUAACCUGCAUUCCCUCCCAAACUUUGGCAACCACUAAUUUCUUCUCCAUUUCUGCAGUUUUAUCACUUCAAGAAUGUUCCAUAAAUGAAAUUAUAUAGCAUGUAAUCCUUCGGGAUUAGCUUAUUUUUCCACUCAACUUAAUCCCUUUUAGCCAAAUUAUUGGUAUAUGUCAAGAAAUCAUUUGUUUUUAUUGCUGAGUUUUUCCUCUCAUUUUAACUUGAAAAAUUUAUAUCCAUCUUUGUUUUGGAGGAGUAUCUUUUUGCUUGUUUUUCUGUAAGCAUAUACAAAGCUGUGAACACUUACAAUGUCUAGAAAUGGCAUUUAAAAAAUUUGCGCUAGGAGUUUAUUUUAUAAAUUUAUAUAUAUGUACACACACACACACGGACACACACACACACACACAAAUACACAUUGAGACAGGGUCUUGCUCUGUUGCCUAGGCUAGAACGCAUUCCUAGGUUCAAGUGAUCCUCCUGCCUUAGCUGAGUAGCUGGAACUAUAGGCAUAAGCCACCAUGCCUGGCUAACUUUUAAAUUUUUGUAGAGGUGUGGUCUUGCUUGUUUCCUUGGACUCCUGGGCUCCAGUGAUCCUCCCAUGUAAUCCCAAAGUGCUGGGAUGGGAUUACAGGCAUGAUCCACUGGCUUAGCCUCUGGUAGGAUUUUAAGGAGCAUUAAUUGACAGAUUUAAAGACAUUUAAAUAUAAAUACACACACACACACACACAUUUUGCUUAUCUGUUUAUUUCAGGGUUAGUUUUUACUCUUUUAAUCGAAUUAAAAAAAAAUAUUUAUUUGUUGUUUAUUUUGUUUAACGCAGAGUCUCACUCCAUCAACCAGGCCGGAGUGUGGAGUGCAGUGGUCUGAUCUCAGCUCACUGCAGCCUCUACUUACUGGGUUCAAGCAAUUCUCUUGCCUCAGCCUCCUAGCUGGACUUAGGUGCACGCCACCACACCCGGCUAAUUUCUUUGUCUUUUUAGUAGAGACAGGGUUUCACCAUGUUGGCCAGGCUGGUCUCGAACUCCUGACCUCAACUGAUCGGCUCACCUUGACCUCCCAAAAUUCUGACAUUACACUGUGACCCAUUGUUCCCAGCCCUAUUUGAUUUAAAUUUUUACUUAAAAAAAUUUUUAAGGAGAUGGGGCUGGCCUUGAAUUCAUGGCCUUAAGUAAUACUCCUGCCUUAGUCUCUGAAGUAGUAGCUGGGAUGACAGGUGGGAACCACCGUGCCAAGCUAAUUUAGUUUUUUUUUUUUUUUAAGACAGAGUUUCUGUCUGUCUUGAAGGCUGGACUGCAGUGGUGCAGUUUCGGCACAUUGCAGCCUCUGUCUCCCAGGUUCAAGUGAUUCUCAAUUCUCAUGUCAUGGUCUUCUGAGUAGCUGGCAUUACAGGCUUGCACCACCACACCCAGCUAAUUUUUGUAUUUUCAGUAGAGACGAGGGUUUCACCAUGUUGACCAGGCUGGUCUUGAUCUCCUGACUUCAAGUAAUCCACCUGCCUCAGCCUCCCAAAGUGCUGGGAAUGCAGGUUCACACCACUGUGCCUGGCCCUAAUUGAGUUUUUAAAUGAUGAAAGGUACAUUUUUUUGGUAAAAAUUUACAUCGAAGUAGACAUGUAUAAAGUCAAAAUAAAUAAGUCUCCUCUUCUUAUUGCUCAGGUUUAAUCAUUUUUUUUUUUUUUGAGACAGAGUUUUGCUCUUGUUACCCAGGCUGGAGUGCAAUGGCGCGAUCUCGGCUCACUGCAACCUCUGCCUCCUGGGUUCAGGCAAUUCUCCUGCCUCAGCCUCCUGAGUAGCUGGGAUUACAGGCACGCGCCACCAUGCCCAGCUAGUUUUGUGUAUUUUUAGUAGAGAUCGGGUUUCAUCAUGUUGACCAGGAUGGUCUUGAUCUCUUGACCUCGUGAUCUACCCGCCUCGGCCUCCCAAAGUGCGGGGAUUACAGGCUUGAUCCACUGCACCCAGCCAUCAUUGUUAAUAAUUUGUUUGUGUAUAUAUCUUUUCCACACAUUGUAUGAUGCAGAUAUAUAUCUAGUAUAUAUAUUUAAAUGUAUAUUUGUUGUGAACUGAACGCAAGCCCGGGAAUCUCGUCCAGCGAGAGGGUCCCAAACCUGGAAGAGAGCGCGCGCUGGAAAAAAGGAGAUAGAAAAGGCGAGGUGUGGAGGGCUACAUGCGCUAUGCUCAUGCAGCAAUUUUAUUUUUGCAAUGUGUUUCAUUAUAUACUUUUCUGAAGUUAAAGUUGUGUACGCCAGAUCAACGUACUUAAGUUACAGCAAGCAAGUUACGCCCACUAAGUUAUGCCCAGUAAGUAAGUUAAGUCCAGUAAGUAGGUUACGCCCAAUAGGUCCAGGUAAGUAAGUUACAGUCACGCCCAGUAAGUUAUGGUAAGUUACAGUUACACCCAGUAAGUUAGGAUAAGUAAGUUACCAAGUGUAAAUACUUAAUAUUUUACAGUGAAGGUAACAAGGGUCAAAAAUGAACACAAUCAAGCAAUAAACCAUAAGAAGCCAAAAGUGGACACAUUGCCUCCCAAGUCCUCAUAUCCAUAAAGUAAUGUCUGUUAAUUAUUUAGAAUAACAUAGUCCCUGUCUCGGUUCCUGCCUUCUCUCAGCUCAACUCCCCCAACCGGGGAUCUGUAUCCGGGCUCAAGCUCACCAUAUGGUAAGGCCCAUUUCCUAGGGGCCUCACACGGGAGCGAUCCCCACAGGUCUCCCUUAUAUAUUUACCUAUAUAUACUCUGUGUGUGUGUGUGUGUGUAUAUAUAUAUAUUUAUUUUUUGAGAUGGAGUCUUGCUGUGUCAUCAGUCUGGAGUGCAGUGGCACGAUCUCGGCUCACUGUAACCUCACCUGUGUCAGCCUCCUGAGUAGCUGGGAUUACAGGCACAUGCCACCACGCCCAGCUAAUUUUUGUGUUUUAGUAGAGAUGGGGUUUCACCAUGUUGGUCAGGCUGGACUUAAACUCCUGAUCUUGUGAUCCACCCACCUUGGCCUCCUGAAGUGCUGGGAUUACAGGCUUGAGCCACCACACCCAGCGAUACAUUUUUUUUUCUUUCUUUUUUUUCUUUACAUGAUGAGCUCCAAUUUACAGACAUUUUUCAUAUUUAAACAAAUCCUAAUAUAAGAAAAAUACGAAUAAUAUUUUGCUUUUGGAAUUAGAAAUGUAGUACAUGCACAGGUUAAAAAUUUAAAUAGCACCAAAGGGUACACAGUGAAAAAUAGCUUACUUCCCUCUCUAGUUACCUGAUUCCUGCCUCCCAAAGACAGUCGCUCUUUCUAGCUUAUUUGGUAGCCAUUGACAAAUAUUUUUUGCCUAUACUGUUAUUCAUAUGUUUAUAUUUCUCUAUGUCUGACACAUUAACACACGUAUAUAUGCACAUGCAUGAGUACACACAUGGAAGCACUCUGAAUUUUCUUACCUAAUGGCUUAUCUUGUAGUUCGUUCCACAUUCACACAUAGAAAUCUACCUUAUUCUGUCUCAUGGCUAUGUAAAUAUUCCAUUAUAUGUUUGUAUUAUUUGAUUCUUUAUAAUGGAUAUUUCAAUUGUUUAUAGGCUUGCUAUUACAAGUAAUGGCACAAAGUUAUGUUUUAAUGCAUUAUGUAUAUUUAAUACAUAUACAUUUACACAAACAUGUGAGAUAUACUUAAAGAGCAUACAAAGUCUUCAGUAAUCUGGUUCACACUUGAUACAUUUUAAAAAACAACAACAACAACACUGUGUGGGGUGUUGCGACUCAUGUCUGUAAUCCCAGUACUUUGAAAGGCCGAGACAGGAAGAUUGCUUGAGCUCAGAAGUUCGAGACCAGCCUGGGUAAUAUAGUGAGACUCUGUCUCUACUAAAAAUUUAAAAAAAAAAAAAAAAAAAGGCCAGGUAGGGUGGCUCACGCCUGUCAUCCCAACACUUUGAGAGGCCAUCGUGGGCAGAUCACGAGGUCAAGAGUUUGAGACCAGCCUGGGCAACACGUGAAACCCCGUCUCUACUGAAAUACAAAAUAUUAGCUGGGCAUGGUGGCAUGCACCUGUAAUCCCAACUACUCAAGAGGCUGAGGCAGGAGAAUUGCUUGAAUCGGGAGGCAGAGGUAGCAGUGAGGUGACAUUGUGCCACUGCACUCCAGCCUGGACAACAAAGCAAGACUCCGUCUCCAAAAAAAAGGAAACGUAGCUAGACUUGGUGGCUCACCUAUAGUCCCAGCUACUCAGGAGGCUGCUACAGGAAGAUUACUUGAGCCCAAGCGGUGGAGGACACAGUGAGCCGUGAUCAUGCCGCUGCAUUCCAGUAAGACCUGUCUCCAAAAAUAAAAAAAAAAGAAAACCACUGAAUUUAUAUACCAUCAGUUGAAAAUAAUAUACUUGAAAUACUCAUUCAUAUUUGCCCCAGUAAAAUUUUUUCUGUCCAGUGGCUCGCGUAUCUAGAGAUAGUUAUAUAAAUCAUACCUUUGGUAACUUAAUAAGUUAAUAUUUGUAAAUAGUCUAGUAGUCGCUGGGAAGUUUCAUUUGUGUAUGUAAUAAAAUUAUAUUGUUACUGAUUAUUUACUAGUUGAUCUACAUUCAUGUUUUGUUUUGCUUUGUUUUUUAGAGGUGUUGCUCUGUCACCCAGGCUAUAGUGCAGUGGCACCCUCAUAGCUCACUGCAUGCACGCUUGAACUCCUGGGCUCAAGUUAUUUUCUUGCCUCAGCCUCUCGAGUAGUUAGGUCUACAGGGAUACACAAUCAUACCUGGCUAAUUUUUAAAAAUUUUUCUGGAGACAGGGUCUCGCUAUGUUUCCUAGGCUGGUUUUGAACUCCUGGCCUCAAGUGAUCCUCUAACCUCAGUCUGACAAAGUGCUGUGCUGGGAUUACAGGCAUAGGCCACCAUGCCUAUGAUACAGAUCUUUUACACUGCUUUUAGAAAUAUCAAAUAGAGCAAUAAUAUGGUUGGAAAAAACUGGAAAGGACUUUAUAUAUAUCUUUAACUUUCUUAUUUUGCUCCUACAUUUCUAAGUUUACUCUGCUAUAAUACUGAUGUUCCCAAAUUUGAUGAUAUGCUUGAUUGAGAGAUGAGAUCAGGGUGAAGAAAGGCAAAAUGGUAUGAGGCCUUUUAAAUUCCAUAAGUCAGUUUUAUGGUUCAGAGAUGCUGUAGCCCUAUGUCAGCUAUCUCUGAGGAAGAGCCUCCUUGAUAAUGGUGGGGCAGGGAAUCUUCUGCUUACUCCCAAAACUUUGGAAAAUUAGUAAGGCAGCAUUUAAAGACAAUUUUUAGCUGGGUCCUCAGAUACGAUAUACGUUUUAAAAAGAUUUGGCCAGGUGCAGGGCCCAUACCUGUAAUCCCAGCACUUUGGGAGGCUGAGGAGGGCAGAUCACCUGAGGUCAGGAGUUUGAGACCAGCCUGACCAACAUGAAGAAACCCUGUUUCUAUUAGAAAUACAAAAAAUCAGCCAGGUGUGGUGGCACACGCCUAUAAUCCCAGCUGCUUGGGAUGCUGAGGCAGGAGAAUCACCUGAACCCGGGAGGCAGAGGUUGCAGUGAGCCAAGAUAGCACCAUUGCACUCCAGCCUGGGCAACAGGAGCGAAACUCCAUCUCAAAAAAAAAAAAAAAAAAAGAUUUAAUGUAUAUGUAUAUAUAAAAAAUAUCUUUGAAAAACUUAGAUUAUGGUAAGCAUUCAGCUUAGUGUGAUUUGGGCUAAUAAUUAAUGGAAAUUAAUUCAUUUAAUUGAUUAAUAAGCAUUUAUUGUUUACUCUGUUAGGUACUGUUUUAGGUUCUUAGGAUAUGUUAGUGAACAAAAUAGAUUAAAGAAAAAUCCCUUCCUUUGUGGACCUUACAUUUUUAUUUAUUUAUUUUGAUGUGGUUUCACCAUGACGGCCAGGCUGGUCUUAAACUCCUGACCUCAGGUGAUCCACCCAUCUUGGCCUCCCAAAGUGCUAGGAUUACAGGCGUGAGCCACCAUGCCUGGCCUGGACCUUACAUUUUAAUGUAUAAGACAGACAAUAUUUAUAAAUAUAACUCCAGUAAUCUUAUAUUAUGUUAGAAGAUGACAAGUCCUACUAAAAACAAAAGUGUAGUAGAGUAAGAGGGAAUAAGAGUAUAGGAAUAGGGAGAUCAAGGUAAACCUCUUGGGAUUGAAAUUUGAGUGUAGACUGGAGAAUGGUAGCCAAGCCAGUAAUCAGGAGAAAGUAUCUCAGGCAGAGGAAUAGAAGGCUCAUAGAUUGGUGUGGAGAGAGGAACAGGGAAGAAUUGGACUUUUGCUUUUAUUUUGUGUCAAAAGGAGGGAUAGGAUCUAAGGUUUUUAAUUUUAAUUUAAUUUAAUUUUUAUUUUUCUUGCCCCUCCCUUGGAUCUAGGUUUUUAAAAGAGUUCUGUGGUAAGAGAGCAGGAGAGAAUUCAGGAGAUAAUUUGCAAUAAUCCAGCAAGAGAUGAUGUAGCUUAGGCAGGUUACAGCGUUGAAAGUGGCAAGAACUAGUCAGUGUUCAGAUAUAUUUUCCAGGUACAGCCAGUGUAAUUUCACAUGAAAUGUAGGGCAUUGGAGAGAGGAGUCAAGGGUUGGUUUCAAGGAUGUGGAAGGAUGGAUGGACUUGGUACCACCUGAGAUGGGGGAAUGCUGCAGACAGAGCAAAUAUGGGAGAGCAGAUCAGGAGUUUGGUUUUGAACAUGUUACUGUGAGAGUUAUAUUAGCCAUUCAAGUGGAGAUUUUGAGGAGGUAGGUAGAUACGAAUCUGGAGUUCUUGAGAGAUAUUAGGACUAGAGAUAAUAACUUUCAAGUCAUCAGUGUAUACAUGGCGUUUAAAGUCAUAGAACUGUAUGCAUUCACCAAGGAAUAUGGCUUGUAUGAGUUCACCAAGGAAUAAGAACUUGGGAAACACAAAUAUUUAUUGAUAAAUCAGUAGGGUAUUAUCUUUUUUCCUAGGAGAAAGAAAGAAUAGGUAAGUAACAUUUGGGUUCUACAUAUGCGCCAGUCAUGCUGUAUAUAUAUUUGCAUACACUAUCCUAUCAUAUUUAAUAACUAAUCACUUUCAUGAAAUAGAUAAUGUUUUCAUUUGACAGUUAAAAACUAGCACUUGAAAAGACUAGUUUUAAUAACCAAUUACAAGUUCUUUCACUAUCCUUUGUAUAUGACCUUAAGAAAUUGAGUUCAGAGGCCGGGCGUGGUGGCUCACCCCUGUAAAACCAGAACUUUGGGAGGCCAAGGUGGGUGGAUCGCCUGAGGUCAGGAGUUUGAGACCAGCCUGGCCAACAAACCCUGCCUCUAAUAAAAACACAAAAAUUAGUUGGUCGUGGUGGUGGGCACCUGUAAUCCCAGCUAGUCAGGAGGCUGAGGCAGGAGAAUCCCCUGAACCCAGGAGGCAGAGGUUGCAGUGAGCCAAGAUCUCCAGACAAGAGUGAAACUCCAUCUUAAAAAAAAAAAAAGAAGAAGAAGAAGAAGAAAAGAGAGCCUCGGCUUAAGAUGCAGACAUGGCCAAGUCCAAGAACCACACUACACACAGUCAGUCCUGAAAAUGGCACAGAAAUGGUAUCAAGAAACCCCAAUCACAAAGAUACAAAUCUCUUUAGUAGGUGGACUCCAAGUUCCUGAGGAACAUGUGCUUUGUCAAGAAGCACAACAAGAAGGUCCUAAAGAAGAUGCAGGCCAGUAAAGCCAUGAGUGCAUGUGCUGAGGCUAUCAAGGCCCUCAUAAAGCCUAAGGAGCUUAAGUCCAAUAUCCCAAAGUGUACCAGUCACAAGCUCGAUCAACUUGUCUACAUUGCUCACCCCAAGCUUAGGAAGCAUGCUUGUACUCGCAUUGCCAAAGGGGUCAGGCUAUGCCGGCCAGAGGCCAAGGAUCAAACCAAGGCCCAGGCUGCAGCUCCAUCUUCAGUUCCACCUCAGGCUCUGAGGUGCCAAGUCCCCUAAAAAGGCUUCAGAGUAGAUAUCUCUGUCUGCCAGCAUGAGGACAGAAGGACUGGUAUGAACCCCCAGGCUGCCGUCUGCAUGGGGCUGGGGUCAUCCUGUGCUAUGUACACAUCAACCUGAGGCAGGAUUUAAGAAAAAAAAUAAGAAAUUAAGGUAGGAUAGCAAAGUUUUUCUGUAGUGUUGAGAGUAGAAUGUAAACCUUGUUCUUUUUAAUACUGUAUAUCCUAUUACAAUUAAGUCCUUAUGUGAGCUGAACAUUCAGUCUUUGCUAGAUUAUUCUAAUUAGCUGCCCUUGUAUGGUUAGGUUAGCAUGGAGUUAAAGAUAAAUGCCCCGUUUAAAAAAAUGACAACCCUUCAGAAAACUCUGGCAGUUUACAGAAGAAAUACAAAUGGCUAGUAAGUAUAUAAAAGUUCCUAACGAGUGAAUUAAAGCAAAUUAAAACAAGUGUUCACUUAUUUAUUUAUUUUUUACCUUUCAAGUUGAUAAGAGCACAAAGAUUGCUGUUACCUAGUGUUGGUGUGGGUUUGGGGUGGGGGAAAGACACUCCGGUAUGAUGCUUUUAGAAGUCAGUAUUCAUUAAAAUUUAAGAUGUCCACAUCCUUUGGCACAAUAGUUUAUUUUUAGACUGAUUCUAUGGAAACACAAGAUAUAUGUACAGAGUUAUUCACUGCAGCUGAUCUGUGAUAGUGAAAACUUAAAAAUAGUGAAAUUCCUCUUUUUUUUUGUAAAUUGGUGUCAUAGUGAAGUUCCUCUUAAUAAGGGUGUCAUCUAUAUAGCAGAAUAUCAUAGAGCAGUAAAAACAAGCAGGAGUUUUAUGUACAGAUAAGAAGAGAUGCUUAAAAUAUAUUACUAAGUAGGAGGAAGAAGAAAUUAAAAAACAGUAUGUGUAAUACACUUUUAAUUUUAAAAGAUAUGUAAGAAGAAAAGUUGUAGAGACAGCAUUGAGUUGUUAAUAUUAGUAUUUCUGUGGUGGCAUGGUGGGAGACUUUGAUUUCUAUAUUUCUGGAUUUUUUUUUCCUCAAGUCUUUUAUAAUCAGAAAAAGAAUCAGUAAAGAUACAUACACGCACGCAAACACGCAUGCACACACGCACACACAACGAACCCAACCCCAACCCUUCAGAUGCUAGGUUACUACAGGAUUUAGCAAAAGAAUUAGAAAUGCAUGUGGUUUGCUAGUUUAUCCCAAAUUCAGCAUUAGUCUUCUGAGCUCAUCCAUGGGUUUGGAUGAUCUUAAACUAAUAUUUUAUGUGACAAGUAAGCUGGUUUUAGAAACAAAAUUUUUUUCUCUGUUAUUAAAUUCUUAGCCACAUUACGGAGAAAACAAUACUGGAAAACUUUUUAGGUCAUUUAUUACUUUAUUGGCAUCUUUUGAUUGUGUAGAAAAUAGUAAUUAUCUUAGCAUAAAUCUCAAAACUGCUUUUUAUUGGAGGAUAUUUUUCAGUGAGUAUUCAAUUUGAUGAUACUAAAUAGCUUCACCCAAGAGCCCAAUUUAUUUAGUUGUGGACGGCCGGGCGCGGUCGCUCACGCCUAUAAUCCCAGCACUUUGGGAGGCCAAGGCGGGUGGAUCACAAGGUCAAGAGAUCGAGACCAUCCUGGUCAACAUGGUGAAACCCCAUCUCUACUAAAAAUAGAAAAAUUAGCUGGGCAUGGUGGUGCACGCCUGUAGUCCCAGCUACUCAGGAGGCUGAGGCAGGAGAAUUGCUUGAACCCAGGAGGUGGAGGUUGUGGUGAGCUGAGAUCGCGCCAUUGCACUCCAGCCUGGGUAACAAGAGGGAAACUCCGUCUCAAAAUAAAUAAAUAAAUAAAUAAAAUAUUUAGUUGUGGAUGUUCAGGUUUGUAGCAGAUUCAUCGUGGAAGGCCUAUAGUGUUGCAGUAUUCCCCAGAAUCUGCUGUUUUUACUGGAGUCUUACUGCACUGCAGUUCUUUUCUGAUUGAAGAGGCUAAAUAAUGUAUACUGCAAACAUGUUCAGGUAAAAACAGUGUACUGUAUACACUCCAGUGAAACAGUGGGUUCUCAGCUGGGUACUUGUCUUUAAGCCACUUUAUUCAUCUGAAAUUUCUGUUUAGGGAAUUGUUUUUUCUUCUGGCUGUAGGCAUUGCUGUGGCUAUCUUGGUGCGUAGGUAUAACAACCUCUCUAAGAGCCAAUUUGAGAUGGAGUUUUGUUCUUGUCACCCAGGCUGGAGUACAAUGGUGUGACCUCAGUAUACUGCAACCUCCGCCUCCCAGAUUCAAGCACAUCUACCACCUCAGCCUUCUGAAUAGCUGGGAUUACAGAUGUGGGCCAGUAGGCCCACCUAAUUUUUGUAUUUUCAGUAGAGACAGGGUUUUGCCAUGUUAGCCAGCCUGGUCUUGAACUCCUGACCUCAGGUGAUCCACCUGUUUCGGCCUCCCAAAGUACUAGGAUUACAGGUGUGAAUCAUGACACCCAGCCUGACUUUGCAGUUUUUAAAACAGUGCUAACUUUCCUUCCUGGAGGUCUGUUAUUUUAUGCAGACUACUCACUGUCUACUAAAUAACGUAGUAUGUGUUCUCUGGACACUGACUAGAGAACGUAAUUUAAUUAUUGGGCACAUAUUGAACAUUUCUAUGCUAGGUAUCAUAAUAGAUAUUGGGGAAUACAAAGAUGUAUCAGGGUGGGCACAUUGGCUCAUGCCUCUAAUCCCAGCACUUUGGGAGGUCGAGGAGGGUGAAUCACUUGAGGUCAGGAGUUUGAGACCAACCUGGCCAACAUGAUGAAACUCUGUCUCUACCAAAAAUACAAAAAAAUUAGCUGGGCAUGGUGGCAUGCACCUGUAGUCUCAGCUGCUUGGGAGGCUGAGGCAGGAGAAUCGCAUGAACCCUGGAGGCAGAGGCUGCAGUGAGCCAAGAUGGCACCAUUGCACUCCAGCCUGGGCAACAAAGCAAGACUUCAUCUCAAAAAUAAAAAAUAAAUAAAUAAAAUAAAGAUGUAUCAGACAUGGCCCUGGUCAUUUGUGAGUGCAUAGAUUAAUAAAGGAGUUUGACAUUAUAAAGUAUUACAUAGUAUGAUAUUAUAUAUAUAUACACACCUCUCAUAUAUGUACAUAAAGUGUGUAAGAAACUCUAUUCAGGGAUAUUUUGAGAGGCAAUAUUUGAAAUAUUUUUCAAAAGAUGUAUGAGGCAUACCUGGUAGAAAGGGCAUUCUAGGCAAAUGAGAAAAGACACAGGUUUGAGAGGAAGCACUAUCCAUAGUUUUGUAGUCAUCUGACGGUAAGUGAAUAGGCUAAUUAUGGAGAUAGGUACUGGAUAAUAAGUUGUGGCCACGUUUUGAAGGCCCUUCUAGGUUAUGCUAGUAAGUGAUAUGAUAAGAUCUGUGUUUUCCCACCCUCAAAGAUGGCAGAAGGCAAGAAAUAAAGUCAGAGCUGAACUGAAUAAAAUUGAGAUUCAAGAAACUACAAAAGAUUAAUGAAAACAGAAGUUGGUUAUUUAAUAGAAUAAAGCAGUUUCUCUUUAAACUGCUAACUAGACUAAUAAAAAAGAUCCAAAUAAGCACAGUCAGAAAUGACAAAGGGGACAUUACCACCGACCCCACAGAAGUACAAAAAACCCUCAGACUAUUAUGAACACCUCUAUGCAUGUUAAGUAAAAAAACUACAAGAAAUGGGUACAUUUCUGGAAGCAUAUCUGCGUGUUAAGUAAAAAAACUACAAGAAAUGGGUACAUUUCUGGAAACAUAUCUCCCAUGAUUGAACCAGAAAGAAAUUGAAACCCAGAACAGAGCAAUAACGAGUUCUGAAAUUGAAUCUGUAGUAAAAAACUUACCAAUCAGAAAAAGCCCAGGACCAAAUGGAUUCAAAGCCAAAUUCUACUAGACAUAUUAAUAUCAAGAGCUGGUACAAUUCCUACUGAAGCUAUUCCAAGAAAUUGAAGAGGAGGGAUCCCUCCCUAUCUCGUUCAAUGAGGCAGCAUCAUUCUGAUACCAAAACCUGGCAGAGAUGCACAAGAAACAAAAACUUGAGGCCAGUCAGUAUUCUUGACGAACAUAGAUGCAAAAAUAUUCAACAAAAUACUAGGACACUGAAUCCAGCAACAUAUCAAAAAGCUAAUCCACUAGGCCAGGAGCAGUAGCUUUUACAUGUAAUCUCAGUACUUUGGGAGGCCAAGGCAAGUUGAUUGAGGACAGGAAUUCAAGACCAGUCUGUGCAACAUGUUGAGUCCCCAUCUCUACCCAAAAAAACUACAAAAAUUAGCUGGGUGUGGUGGCACAUGCCUGUAGUCCCAGCUACUUAAGAGGCUGAGGUGGAAGGAUGGCUUGGGCCCAGGAGGCAGAGGUUGCAGUAAGCUGAUAUUGGGCCAUGGUACUCCAACCUAUGUAACAGAGCGAGACCCUGUCAAGAAAAAAAAAAAAAAAGCUAAUUCACCAUGAUCAAGUAGGCUUUACCCGAGUUGCAAGACUGGUUGGGCAUAUGCAAAUCAAUGACUGUUAUCUGUCGCAUAAACGGAGCUAAAAAUCACAUGACCAUUUUAAUAGAUGCAGAAAAAGUUUUCAGUAAAAUUCAACAUCGCUUAAUGUUAAAAACCCUCAACAAACUUGACAUUGAAGGAACACACUUCAAAAUAAUGAGAGCCAUGUAUGACAAAGCCAGCAUCAUACUGAAUGGGCAAAAGCUUGAGAACUGGAAGAAGACAAGAUUGCCUACUCUCAACACUCCUAUUUAACAUAGUACUAGAAGUCCUAGCCAGAUCAAUCAGGCAAGAGAAAGAAAUAAAAGGCAUCCAAAUAGGAAGAGAGGAAGUCAAACUAUCUCUGUAGAUAAUAUGAUUUUGUACCUAGAAAACCCCACAGUCUGCCCAGAAAUUUGUAAGUCUGACAAACAACUUCAGCAAGGUUUCAGGAUACAAAAUUGAUGUGUAAAAAUCCAUAGCAUAUCUAUACACCAACAGCAUCCAAGCUGAGUGCCAAAUCAAGAAUGCAAUCCCUUUUACAAUAGCUGCGAAAAAUAAAAUACCUAGCAAUACAGCUAAUCAGGGAGGCGAAGGUGAAAGAGCUCUGUAAUGAGAAUUAGGAAACAUUGUUAAAAGAAAUCAGAGAUGACACAAACAAAUAGAAAAAUAUUCCAUGCUCAUGGAUCGAAAGAAUCAAUAUUGUUAAAAUGGCAGUAGUGCCCAAAACAACAUACAGAUUCAGUGCUAUUCCUAUCAAACUGCCAAUGACAUUCUUCACAGAAUUAGAAAAGACGAUUUUGAAAUUUCUAUGAAACCAAAAAGCAGCCUGAAUAGCCAAGGCAAUCCAAAAAUAAGCAAAAAGAGCAAAGCUUGGAGGUAUCACCUUACCUGAUUUCAAACUAUACUUCAAGUCUUUAGUAAUCGAAACAGCAUGGUACUGUUACAAAAACAGUGACAUAGACCAAUGGAACAGAAUAGAGAGCCCAGAUAUAAAGCCUCACACCUACAAUCAUCUGAUCUUCCCCAGAGUUGACAAAACAAGCAAUGGGGAAAGGACUUCCUAUUCAGGAAAUGGUGCUGAGUUAACUGGCUAGCCAUAUACAGAAGGUUAAAACUGGACACCUUUAUUACACCAUAUGCAAAAAGUUAAUUCAUGGUGGAUUAAAGACUUAAAUGUAAAACCUAAGACUAUAAAAACCCUUGAAGAAAACCUAGAAAAUACAAUUCUGGCCAUAGGCCCCAGCAAAGAUUUCAUGAUGAAGAUGCCAAAGCAAUUGGAACAACAACAACAAAUUGACAAAUGAGACCUAAUUAAAGAGCAUCUGCACAGCAAAGAAACUAUCAAUAGAGUAAACAGACAACCACAGAAUAGGAGAAAAUAUUUGUAAACAGUGCAUCUGACAAAGGUCUAAUAUCCAAAAUCUAUAAGGAACUUAACAAGCAAAAAACAACUCCACUAAAAACUGGGCAAAGGACAUGAACAGACACUUUUCAGAAGAAGACAUACAUGCAGCCAAUGAGCAUAUGAAAAAAUGCUCAACAUUGCUAAUCAUUAGAUAGAAAUCAAAACCACAUUGAGACACCAUCUCACACCAGUCAGAAUGACUAUUAUUAAAAAGUAAAAAAAUAACAGAUGCUUCUGAGGUUGCAGGGAAAAGGGAACACUUAAUACACUGCUGGUGGGAAUGUAAAUAUGUUCAGCCACUUAUUUUCACGAUUUCUCAAAUAACUUAGAAUUACCAUUUGACCCAGCAAUUUCAUUAUUGGGUAUAUACCCAAAGGAAUAUACAUUGUUCCGUCGUAAAGACACAUGCACAAAUAUGUUAAUUGCAGCACCAUUCACAAUAGCAAAGACAUGGAAGUGACCUAGAUGCCCAUCGGUGGUAGACUGGUUAAAAGAAAUUCGGUACAUAUGCUCCAUGGGUUACUACACAGCGAUAAAAAAGAACAAGAUUAUGUCCUUUGCAGCAGCAACGUGGUUGGAGCUGGAGGCCAUUAUUCUGGAUGAAUUAAUGCAGGAGCAGAAAACCAAAUACCACUUAGAAGUGGGAACUAAAUAUUGAGUAUACAUAGACACAAAGAAGGGAAUAAGACACCAGAGCUGCUGCCUUUUUUGUGUGUGUGAGAUGGACUCUCGCUCUGUUGCUCAAGCUGGAUGGAGUACAGUGGCGCCAUCUCAGCUAACUGCAACCUCUGCCUCCCGGGCUCAAGCGAUUCUUCUGCCUCAGCCUCCUGAGUAGUUGGGAUUACAGGCACGUAGCACCACGCCUGGCUAAUUUUUGUAUUUUUAGUAGAGACAGGGUUUCACCAUGUUGUCCAGGCUGGUCUCAAAUGUUGGACCUCAAGUGGUCCUCCCACCUCGGCCUCCCAAAAUGCUGGGAUUACAGGUGUAAGCCCUGCGCCUGGCCAACACCGGAGCCUUCUUGAGCAGGGAGAGUUGGUAGAGGGUGAGGAAGGGAAAAGUACCCAUUGGGUACUGUGCAUAUUACCUGGGUGACAAAAUAAUCUAGACACCAAAUCCUUUCCAUAUGUAAUUUACCCAUGUAACAAACCUGCACAGAGUUUUUUCUAAACAAAAAACUUAUUUAUUUAUUUUCAGAUAGAGUUUCACUCUGCCACCCAGGCUGGAGUGCAGUGGUAUAAUCUCAGCUUACUGCAACCUCCUCCUCUUGGGUUCAAGUGAUUCUCCUGCCUCACUCAGCCUCCUGAGUAACUGGGAUUACAGGUGUGUGCCACUACACCUGGCUAAUUUUUGUAUUUUUGGUAGAGAUGGGGUUUUAUCUUGUUGGCCAGGCUGGUCUCGAACUCCUGAUCUCAGGUGAUCCACCCGCUUGAGCCUCCCAAAGUGCUGGGAUUAUAAGUGUGAGCUUGGCCUUACUCUUUAUUUUAAAAAGAUAACUAUAGUAGGCUUUUUUUUACUUCUAAGGAUGGAAAUGGGAAAUCAUUUGGAACAGUCUUUAUGAUAGUUAAAGAGAAAAAUGCCAAAGACUUGGUUUAAGGCAGUGGAAAUGAAAUAGAGGGGGCACAUUUUAGACUUGGUGAAGCAGCUACUACUUGGGAUGCAUAAAGGAGAGAAGGGAGGCAAGGAUAAGUUUUUAGUUUUAAAGUCCUUGUCACAUAUCUUAGAGACUUUUAGUAAUAGGCAGUUGGAAAUGUGAGUUAGGAAAUUAGGAUUGAGUGAGAUGAAUGUAGUCUAGUGAUUUUUGAAACGUUUGAAAUAUGACUCUUAAGACUGUCAGGACUUCAAAUCUCUGACACUGUCACUAAGAUGGGAAAUAAGCAUAUAUCUCUUAAAGAACUGUUGAGAUUGUGAGUGUAAACCUAUCAAUAAGUGAUGCUUGGCAUUAUUCUGUCUGUCUAUCAGAACUAGGAAUGAAUGUUUCGCAGCAAAAGGAUAAGAGUUUAAGAGGGAAAGACUGGUCUAGUUAGAUUCUGGAAAGUUAAGUAUGUGAGCUAUAUCAUUAGCUUUUUAUGGAAUUAACUCACUUGAGUUGUGCUUUAAUGUUCUUCUGUAAUUCUAUUGAUAGUGAAUAUAAAAAGUGUUGCAAGAAAUCUUCCUUUCACCUGUCUUGAAGAUGUCAUGGUGUUCAAUGUUUUCUAUGGAAAAAUCCUUGUAAUUAUUUCUUCAAAGAGUUUAGUACUAGAAAAAAUGUUUUUUUGCUCAAGCAAAUUGGUAUUAUUUUACUAAGCAAGUGAUUUUUAAACUUCUGUUUUCUGUUUUUUAUCUUGGCCAUUUCAAAAUGUCUGAGCUUAAUGCUUGAUUGAAAUAUUUUUCUUAACCUGUAUUUUUGGUUUAAUAAUCAACAUUUAAUCUUUUAUUAUGUGGCUCUAUUGUAUCUUUUCAGGUGCUUACACAACAGAAAUUUAUUGUCUCAGGAUUGGAGGCUGAAAGUCUAAGAUCAAAGUGUUGGCUGGAUUGCUGCCUUCUGAGGGCUGUGGAGGAUAAUCUAUUCAAUGUCUCUCCCCUUAGCUUUUGGUUUGCUGACAGUCUUGGAUAUUUCUUGGCCUGUAGAAACAUUUUCCCUGUGAAAACAUGAAACAAUCACUUGUUUCAUCUUUACAUGAUGUUUUCCCUUUGUGUGUGUCUGUGUCCAAAGUUCCCUUUUUUUACAGUGUCACCAGUCAUAUUGGAUUAGGGCUACCCUAAUGGCCUCAUCUUAGUUAAUUAUAUCUGAAGUGACCCUAUAUUCAAAUGAGGUCACAUUGCAAUGUACAGGGCAUUAGCACUUCAACAUAGGAAGGUGGUGGGGAUAGGGGAAACACUUGAACUUCUAACAGUUGUGUGGCUAAAUGAAAUAAUAACCUAAAAUGCCUUAUGGAACUUUGGAGUUAGGUACAGAAUUGAGAAUUUGAACUUGAUCUCUUUAUGACUCUCCGCAGAAGCUUUAUCAUAAGCACAGUGUUUAUAGUCAUUAAUCGUUGUUUUCUUACAGUUCUCUGACUUUUUCCUUAGUUUGUGAACUUUUGGGGGAAUUCCAGCUUUUCAAACAGUAUGUCUUGUCCACCUGCUUUGGAUUUCAGUCUUUUCUUCCAGACAGCUUCUAUGGGUUUUAAAACAGAUGUGUAAAUAUUCCAACCUACCUUUUUGUCAUUUAUUUUAAAAAGAGGAAAACCUACAUGGAAAGUUUUCCCUAAUACAUUCUGUUACAAAGAGCACAUUAGUGUUUCAUCAAAAAAAGCAGGCUACUUUUUGCAAAUAAAUUAAAAAGUGGAUUUGGCACUUAAUAUCAACUGGGCAUGCCAAUAUACUGAAUUAUUAUCACAGCAGCCUUGGAAAGUAGAUGCUACCAUUUUAGUGUUACAGAGGAAGAAACUGAGACUUAAAUCUACUGUUGAAGGUCAGUAGUUGGCAACUGGCUGAAACAGACCUCAUGGUCAGUAUUUGUUAAAAGCUUAUGCUCAUUCCACAGUCUAAUAAAGACAAGGAUGGUGUAUCUGCUGAGGGGGUGGAGAAGCCCCUGUUUCUUGGAUCUCCACCCACUGUACUGUCAUCUGGCAUCUCUGAGGUCUCAGUUUCCUCACAGAAAAGUGCAGGCAAUUGGCCGGGUACUGUGGCUCACGCCUGUAAUCCCUGCACUUUGGGAGACUGAGGCAGGUGGAUCACUUGAGCUCACAAGUUUGAGACCACAACCUGAGCAACAUGGCAAAACCCCAACCCUACUAAAAAUGCAAAAAAUGAGCUGGGUGUGGUGGUGCGUGCCUGUAGUCCCAGCUACUUGGGAGGCUGAGGCACAAGAAUCUGCUUGAACCCAGGAGGUGGAGGUUGCAGUGAGCUGAAAUCAUCCCACUGCACUCUAGCCCAGGCAACAGAGUGAGACUCUAUCUCAAAAAAAAAAAAAAAGGCAUUUAAGUGAAAAUAAAUGUUUGUACAAAUGUGCUAGGCUGGGCUUGGUGACUCAUGCCUGUAGUCCCAGGACUUUGGGCGACUGAGGAGGGAGGAUUGCUUGAGUGCAGAAGUUUGAGGCUGCAGUGAGCUGAUUAUGCCACUGCACUCCAGCCUGGGUGACAGAGAGAGGGAGACUGUCUAAAAAAAUGACAACUUCUUGCCACCAAGCUUACAGAAAAAAAAAAACCACUAACAAAAAUGUGCUAUUAGAUUAAGGAAUACCAAAAAGAGAAAGGUGUAUAUAAUUACAGAUAGAUCAAAUGUAGUUACAGAUAAUUUAAGGCCGAAUGCAGUGGCUUACAUCUGUAAUCCCAGCACUGUGGGAGGCCAAGGCAGGAGGAUCGUUUGAACCCAGGAAGUUUUUUUUGAGACAGCGUCUCUUACUGUCACCCAGUCUGGAAUGCAAUGGCAUGAUGACAGCUCACUGCAGCCUUCAGCUUCCCAAGCUCAGGAGUUUGAGACCAGCCUGGGCAACAUGAGACCUUGUCUCUACAAAAUGAAAUAAAAUAAAAUAAAUUCAAACAAAACAAAGCUCAGAUAAUUUAGAUUAGUAGAUAGUACAGAAAUAUGUGAAAAUUUAAAUACUGUGGUUGAAGACAGCAAUAAAAGGAAGUUUUUUUUUUGUCGAAUGAUGUAAAUAGUAUCUUAAGAGGUAAAGGUUUUAACAGCUUGGACUAAUUGGUGAAUACUUUCUAAGAAGGGGGAAUAAAAAAAAAAUAACGUUUAUGAUGACCUAGGAGAAAAGAUGCUAGCCACUUUACUUUAGAUUAUUUUACUUGACGUCAUACCACAACCCUGUGAGAUGGCAUUUAAACUCUUUUUUCAGAUGAAGAAAUGAAAUUUACAGUUAUUUGCUCAUGCUCAUAUAGUUAGUAAAUGGCACAAGUAGGAUUCAAACUCAGUGUGUAACUCCAAGUAUUUUUUCUUUCUCAUCAUACCUGAGUCUUGAAGAACAGGGAGCCAAGUAUGUGUAUUAGAAAUUGAUUGUACUCCAGAUGGUAAAGUGUGGGAGAUUUUAAGCAUGUAGUGAAUAUAUCAUUGUGACUGGAGGAGAAAGUUCAGUCAUGUUAUGAUUCUUGUAAAGAUCUUACAGUAGGUGUAUACUUUUAUUAUUUAAUGCCAUGAUCUUUAAUCUUUCUGAAAUAUUGGUGUAACGUAUUCAAUUCGUUCCCUAGAUGGAUACUCAGUUGUCUUAAGUCCAUUUAUUGAAUCCCUUUUUCCUUUACUAAUUAAAAGAAAAAAAUCUUUAUUGGCCAGGCAUAGCGGUGUGCGCCUGUAGUCCCAGCUACUUAGGAGGCUGAGGUGGGAGGAUUGCUUCAGCCCCGAAGGCCGAGAUUACAGUGAGCCGAGAUUGUGCUACUGCACUCCAGCCUGGGCAACAAAGCUGUCUCAAAAAAAAAGAAAAAGAAAAGCUUUAUUGAAAUAUAAUUUACAUGCUAUUAAAUUCACCUGUUAUAGGUACAAUUCAAUUAUUUUUAGUAACUACAUAGAGUUGUACAGUUUUUUAAAAUAACUUUAAGAUGUUUAUUUUUCAUAACUCUUAAUUGAAGUUUGAUUGUAGAUGGUAUGAUUUUCAUUUUAUAAUUGAUGGUAAUCUGCAUUUUAUAAGCAUUUUGCCCAAGACUUUGUGGCUAGUGAAUGGCAGAACCGAGACGCCAACCCAGCACCUUUUAGGAAUAUUAGCAUGAUAAUUGAGAACAAAUUGGAGGGUAUGCUAAUGUCAGCCUAAGAAGUUUGGAUUUCAUCCUUUAGCGUGAGAAUCACAAGCAUCUUUGUAAUGCCCUACUCAGCGCUUGUAGCUGGGUACUUUUUGGAAAGUGUCUUCUAUAAUGGAACUGUAGUCUCUGAAAAUGCUCUAUGUAGGAAGGGUUCCCUCGUCAAGUAAAUUUGGGAAGUACUCUGUCUUUUUGGAUUAUCACAGUUCACAUUGUAUACACAUACCCUGGGAAGCUGUACAGUAAAGAAAUGGGUUUACUUUUAUUUUUUAACUCGUAUUCCCCCAGAGGUUUCCAAGUUUCUUGACCAUAGAAGACCUUUCAAGUAACACUGCUCUAGUAGGAUGUUUUUGAAGAUUUAGACUCAAUUCAUUAAGACGAGAUAAGUCUGAAAAAGAAAACUAAGCUGCAAAAUUGGAUUUUUUAAAAAGUAGGUUAUUAUUAUGUACAUUUAUCUGUUAAUAGUUGUGGGGUAACUGCUGCUGACAGAUGCAGAAGUUCUGAUUCUUUAGGUAUAAGAUCCUUUGGUCCAAAGUUUGAAAUUUUGUCUCUCUACCUGGUUGAUCCUGCCAGUAGAAAAAAAAAUUUUGUCUCUUGAUUUAUACUUGUAUUUCCUUUUUUUGGUAGAGAUGGGGUCUUGCUUUGUUGCCCAGCUUGGUCCUGAAUUCUUGGGCUCAAGUGAUUAUCCCACCUUAGCCUCCCCCAGAGUGCUGAGAUUAGACAUGAGCCACCAUGCCUGGCCCCAUUUCUUUUAAAAAUUUGAAAGACUGUUUAGUAUAGUAGCAAGAUUUUUUGUUGGUUUGUUUUUGUUUUUUGUGUUCUUUUUUUUUUUUUUUUUUGAGACAGAAUCUCACUCAGUUGCUCAGGCUGGAGUGCAGUGGUACGAUAUCAGCUCACUGAAACCUCUGCCUCCCGGGUUCACACAAUUCUCUGUCUCAGCCUCCCAUGUAGCUGGGAUUACAGGUGUCUGCCACCAUGCCCAGCUAAUUUUUGUUUUAGUAGAGAUGGGGUUUCAUCAUCUUGGUCAGGCUGGUCUUGAACUCCUGACCUUGUGAUCCACCUGCCUCAGCCUCCCAAAGUGCUGGGCUACAGGUGUGAGCCACUACACCCAGCCUGCAGGAUUACUUUUAUGUCCCAGUUGUACCCUUUACUAGUAUUGUGGCUUUGGGCAAGCUAUUUAGUCUCUGAAUCACAGUUUGCUUGACCAUAAAAUAAAAAGAUUAUCAACUUUGCCACAGUUGUUAUUCAGAUGGAGAUUCAUAUCUACAAUAAUGGUUGUUCAAUUUGUUAGUAUUCUAUGGUAUCUCAGUUCAUUUCUGCAGCUAUAACAAAAUAUUGGAGACUGGGUAAUUUUUAUAGAACAGAAAUUUGUUUUUCAGAGUUCUCAAGGCUGGGAAGUCCAAGAUCAAGGUGUGGGUUGGUUUGGUGUCUGAUGAAGGCUGCUGUGUAUGUUUCAGGAUGGUGCCUUGUUGCCAGGUGCUCACAUGGUAGAAGGGUCUAACAGUUUCUUUGUGUUUCAUAAGGGUACUGAUUCCAUUAACAUCAUGACAUGCUCCACCCUCAUGACUUAAUCACCGUCUAAAGGCCCCAACUCUUAAUACUAUCACAUUGUCAAGUUUCAACACAUGAAUUUUGCAGGGGGUGGAAGGGAGAUUCAGACCAUAGGAUUCUGCCCCCAGCCCCUUGAAUCUAUAUCUUUGUCCCCUGCAAAAAAACAUUAAUUCUAUCCUAAUCGUCUCAGAAGUCUUCUAGCACCAAUUCAAAAGUCCACAGUCUCAUCUAAAUUAGGUAUGGGUGAGACUCAAUUGUUCAUCCUAAGGCAAAGUGUUUUCCAGCUAUGAGCCUGUGAAAUCAUACAAGUUACAGUUUUUGGGAAAUAUAGUGGUAGGACAGACAUAGUAUAGAUACUUCCGUUCAGAAACGGAGAAAUUAUAAAGAAGAAAGGGAUAACAGUUCCCAAGAAAGCCCAAAACCCAGCAAGGCAAACAACAUUGAAUCUGAUGCCUGAAAAUAAUCUUAACUUCUUUUCUUGCCUUCUGGACACACUGGGAGUCAGGGUGGGUCCUGAAGGCUCUAGGGAACCCCACCUCUAUGGCUUUAUCUGGGGCAGUCCCUAAUGCAGCUCUCACAUGUUCGAGUCUGGUGCCUCUGACUCUCCUAGGCUGUUGUUACAUGUUGGUGGCUGCAUAGUUCCGGGGUCUCUGGAACAGCCUUGCCUUCACAACUUCAACAGACAUUACCCUGAUAAGAGCUCUCUGCUGCAGCCUGCCCCCAUGGCACUUCUCCAUCUAGCCCCUGAGACUUUCUGAGAAAUCCUUUGAAAUCUAGGUGGGCAUAGCCAUACCUCUGAGUGUACUGCACUCCUGAAGAGUUAACACCAUGUGGGCAUCGCCAAGGUUUACCAAUUGGACCCACUUUUGCCCUCCAGAGUGGUGGCCUGAGCUGCACCUGGCCUCACUUGAGCCACAGUGGGGCAGUCAGAGAGCCUUAUUUGGGAAUAAGGGGAGCAGAGAUGUGAGGCAACCCUGGGCAGCUGGACCUCUCCCUAGAAAAUAGUUCUGUACACAAUGCUCUGCCAUUGUGGGCCUGUGGUGGGGUCUGGCAGCCUUCAAGCAAUCUAAAAUUUGUUUGGGUUCAUUCUUCCAUUGUCUUGAUGAAUAUCACCUGCUUUCUUGUGUCUAUACAGAUCUCAUUUUAAAAAUUUUAUUUAACUUUUUUUAUUUUAAUUUUUUUUUUUUUUAGAGAUGGGGUCUCACUAUGUUGCCCAGGCUGGUUAAUCACCUUAUCAAAAGAUUGCUUGGUCAUGCUUGUGAUACUCUCUUCCAAUACCACCCCCCACCCCCCACCCCCCGUUUUUUUAUUUUGAGGCAGUGUCUUACUCUGUUUGCCAGGCUGGAGUGCAGUGGUGCCGUCUUGGCCCACUGCAGCCUCCAUCUCUAGGGUUCGAGUGAUUCUCCUGCCUCAGCCUUUAGAGUAGCUGGGAAUACAGACACAUGCCACCAUGCCUGGCUAGUUUUUGUAUUUUUAUUAAAGACAGGGUUUUGCCAUUUUGGGCAGGCUGGUCUCGAACUCCUGACCUCAAGUUAUGUGCCCACCUUGGCCUCCCAGAGUGUUGGGAUUAUAGGCGUGAGCCACCAUGGCUGGCCCAAUACCCAUUUUUAAUCUUUACAACCUAGCCAGGCUGAUAAUUUUCCAAAUUUUUAAAUCCUGCUUCCCUUUUCAUUGUAAAUUUCAUCUUUAGGCCAGGUAAGGUGGUUCAUGCCUGUAAUCCUAGCACUUUGGGAGACUGAGGUGGGUGGAUCGCUCGGGCUUGGGAAUUCAAGACCAGGCUGGGCAACAUGGUGAAACCUUGUCUCUACAAAAAAAAUACAAACAAAAAAAAAUUAGCCAGGUGUGGUGGCUUGUGCCUGUAGUCUCACCUAGUUGGGGGCCUGAGGCAAGAGGAUUCCUGGAGCCCAGCAGAUGGAGGUUGCAGUAAGCCUAGAUUGUGCCACUGCACUCCAGCCUGUGUGAACGAGUGAGACCCUGCCUCAAAAAAAAAAAAAAAAAAAAAAAGGGGUUUAAUUCAUUU